CCUACGGGUGGCAGCAGUGGGGAAUAUUGGACAAUGGGGGCAACCCUGAUCCAGCCAUGCCGCGUGUGUGAAGAAGGCCCUCGGGUUGUAAAGCACUUUCAGUGAGGAAGAACGCCUGGUGGUUAAUACCCAUCAGGAAAGACAUCACUCACAGAAGAAGCACCAGCUAACUCCGUGCCAGCAGCCGCGGUAAUACGGAGGGUGCGAGCGUUAAUCGGAAUUACUGGGCGUAAAGCGCGCGUAGGUGGCUUGAUAAGCCGGUUGUGAAAGCCCCGGGCUCAACCUGGGAACGGCAUCCGGAACUGUCAAGCUAGAGUGCAGGAGAGGAAGGUAGAAUUCCCGGUGUAGCGGUGAAAUGCGUAGAGAUCGGGAGGAAUACCAGUGGCGAAGGCGGCCUUCUGGACUGACACUGACACUGAGGUGCGAAAGCGUGGGUAGCAAACAGGAUUAGAUACCCGGGUAGUC
rnacentral:rRNA from 1 species